GUGAAUCAUCGAAUUUUUGAACGCAAAUUGCACUCUCCUCGGAGAGUAUGCCUGUUUGAGGUUCAGCCUCUAAAAAAUCGACAUCGUUGCUGUUUCACGGUGACGUUCGUCGGAAAUUGGGUCAUCUUACAUCUUUUGGGAUUAGGCGGCUUGCGAUUUUAUUUUUGAUUCCAUGAAAGUUUUUGUAAGAUAUAUUUCUUUACACGUUUAAGGUAUCGAUUUUUAUUAGACGUGACCCUCAUAUGGGAUCUCGUCCAUAAUAUUUCAUUCACUG
rnacentral:misc_RNA from 1 species